rnacentral:rRNA from 1 species
UAAGCGGAGGAAAAGAAACUAACAAGGAUUCCCCCAGUAGCGGCGAGCGAACAGGGAAGAGUCCAGCACCGAACCCCGCAGGCUGCCGCCUGUCGUGGCAUGUGGUGUUUGGGAGGGUCCACUACCCCGACGCCUCGCGCCGAGCCCAAGUCCAACUUGAAUGAGGCCACGGCCCGUAGAGGGUGCCAGGCCCGUAGCGGCCGGUGCGAGCGUCGGCGGGACCUCUCCUUCGAGUCGGGUUGCUUGAGAGUGCAGCUCCAAGUGGGUGGUAAACUCCAUCUGAGACUAAAUAUGACCACGAGACCGAUAGCGAACAAGUACCGUGAGGGAAAGUUGAAAAGAACUUUCAAGAGAGAGUUCAAAAGUACGUGAAACCGUUCUGGGGUAAACGUGAGAAGUCCGAAAGGUCGAACGGGUGAGAUUCACGCCCAUCCGGCCACUGGCCCCCGCCCUCGGCAGAUGGGGCCGGCCGCCCGCGCGGAGCAAUCCGCGGCGGGGUCGUGUCCGGUUGCCUUUCCACUCGCCGCGGGGUGGGGCCGUUCCGGUGUGCGGUGGGCCGCACUUCUCCCCUAGUAGGACGUCGCGACCCGCUGGGUGCCGGCCUACGGCCCGGGUGCGCAGCCUGUCCUUCCGCGGGCCUCGGUUCGCGUCUGUUGGGCAGAGCCCCGGUGUCCUGGCUGGCUGCUCGGCGGUAUAUCUGGAGGAGUCGAUUCGCCCCUUUGGGCGCUCGGGCUCCCGGCAAGCGCGCGCGGUUCUUCCCGGAUGACGGACCUACCUGGCCCGGCCCCGGACCCGCGCCGCUGUUGGCUUGGGAUGCUCUCGGGCGGAAUAAUCGCUCCCGUCAGCGGCGCUUCAGCUUUGGACAAUUUCACGACCCGUCUUGAAACACGGACCAAGGAGUCUAACAUGUGCGCGAGUCAUUGGGCUGUACGAAACCUAAAGGCGUAAUGAAAGUGAAGGUCUCGCCUUGCGCGGGCCGAGGGAGGAUGGGGCUUCCCCGCCCUUCACGGGGCGGCGGCCUCCGCACUCCCGGGGCGUCUCGUCCUCAUUGCGAGGUGAGGCGCACCUAGAGCGUACACGUUGGGACCCGAAAGAUGGUGAACUAUGCCUGGCCAGGACGAAGUCAGGGGAAACCCUGAUGGAGGUCCGUAGCGAUUCUGACGUGCAAAUCGAUCGUCGGAGCUGGGUAUAGGGGCGAAAGACUAAUCGAACCAUCUAGUAGCUGGUUCCCUCCGAAGUUUCCCUCAGGAUAGCUGGUGCUCGUACGAGUCUCAUCCGGUAAAGCGAAUGAUUAGAGGCCUUGGGGCCGAAACGACCUCAACCUAUUCUCAAACUUUAAAUGGGUGAGAUCUCCGGCUUGCUUGAUAUGCUGAAGCCGCGAGCAAACGACUCGGAUCGGAGUGCCAAGUGGGCCACUUUUGGUAAGCAGAACUGGCGCUGUGGGAUGAACCAAACGCCGAGUUAAGGCGCCCGAAUCGACGCUCAUGGGAAACCAUGAAAGGCGUUGGUUGCUUAAGACAGCAGGACGGUGGCCAUGGAAGUCGGAAUCCGCUAAGGAGUGUGUAACAACUCACCUGCCGAAGCAACUAGCCCUGAAAAUGGAUGGCGCUGAAGCGUCGUGCCUAUACUCGGCCGUCAGUCUGGCAGUCAUGGCCGGUCCUCGUGGCCGGCCGCGAAGCCCUGACGAGUAGGAGGGUCGCGGCGGUGGGCGCAGAAGGGUCUGGGCGUGAGCCUGCCUGGAGCCGCCGUCGGUGCAGAUCUUGGUGGUAGUAGCAAAUACUCCAGCGAGGCCCUGGAGGGCUGACGCGGAGAAGGGUUUCGUGUGAACAGCCGUUGCACACGAGUCAGUCGAUCCUAAGCCCUAGGAGAAAUCCGAUGUUGAUGGGGGCCGUCAUAGCAUGAUGCACUUUGUGCUGGCCCCCGUUGGGCGAAAGGGAAUCCGGUUCCUAUUCCGGAACCCGGCAGCGGAACCGAUACAAGUCGGGCCCCUCUUUUAGAGAUGCUCGUCGGGGUAACCCAAAAGGACCCGGAGACGCCGUCGGGAGAUCGGGGAAGAGUUUUCUUUUCUGCAUGAGCGUUCGAGUUCCCUGGAAUCCUCUAGCAGGGAGAUAGGGUUUGGAACGCGAAGAGCACCGCAGUUGCGGCGGUGUCCCGAUCUUCCCCUCGGACCUUGAAAAUCCGGGAGAGGGCCACGUGGAGGUGUCGCGCCGGUUCGUACCCAUAUCCGCAGCAGGUCUCCAAGGUGAAGAGCCUCUAGUCGAUAGAUAAU